AUUGAACGCUGGUGGCAGGCCUAACACAUGCAAGUCGAGCGGAUGAGUGGAGCUUGCUCCAUGAUUCAGCGGCGGACGGGUGAGUAAUGCCUAGGAAUCUGCCUGGUAGUGGGGGACAACGUUUCGAAAGGAACGCUAAUACCGCAUACGUCCUACGGGAGAAAGCAGGGGACCUUCGGGCCUUGCGCUAUCAUAUGAGCCUAGGUCGGCUUAGCUAGUAGGUGAGGUAAUGGCUCACCUAGGCGACGAUCCGUAACUGGUCUGAGAGGAUGAUCAGUCACACUGGAACUGAGACACGGUCCAGACUCCUACGGGAGGCAGCAGUGGGGAAUAUCGGACAAUGGGCGAAAGCCUGAUCCAGCCAUGCCGCGUGUGUGAAGAAGGUCUUCGGAUUGUAAAGCACUUUAAGUUGGGAGGAAGGGCAGUAAGUUAAUACCUUGCUGUUUUGACGUUACCAACAGAAUAAGCACCGGCUAACUUCGUGCCAGCCGCCGCCGUAAAAC
rnacentral:rRNA from 1 species